rnacentral:rRNA from 1 species
CCGGGUCGGUAACCCUUAAAGGGUCCGGUAAACCGUAACGGACGACCGGCCUAAGGUAAACUGGUGACUGGGGCU